CACAUCCAAGGAAGGCAGCAGGCACGCAAAUUACCCAAUCCCAGCCCUGGGAGGUAGUGACGAAAAAUAACAAUGCGGGACUUUCCCGAGUCUGCGUAAUUGGAAUGAGCACACUUUAAAUCCUUUAGCAACAACCAAUUGGAGGGCAAGUCUGGUGCCAGCAGCCGCGGUAAUUCCAGCUCCAAUAGCGUAUAUUAAAGUUGUUGCGGUUAAAAAGCUCGUAGUUCGAGUUGAGUUGCGGACUGGUGUGGGAGGUCACCGCCCGGUGCUUGCCCGCCAGGUUCCGAACAGCUUCCGUGAGUGGAAGCCAAGCCGGUUCUGCCGGGGUGCUCUUUACCGAGUGUCCCGUGCGGCCGGCCAGUUCACCUUGAAUAAAUGAGAGUGCUCAAAGCAGGCUACUCUGGAAUACAAUGCCCGAAUGUUAGCUGCAUGGAAUGAUGGAAGAUGAUCUCGGUUGCAUUUUGUUGGUGGUGGCAGCCAGAGGUAAUGAUAAAGAGGGACUGUCGGGGGCAUCCGUACUACGACGCGAGAGGUGAAAUUCAGUGACCGUCGUAGGACGAACAACAGCGAAAGCAUUUGCCAAGAAUGUCUUCGUUGAUCAAGAACGAAAGUUAGAGGAUCGAAGGCGAUCAGAUACCGCCCUAGUUCUAACCCUAAACGAUGCUGACUAGCAAUUCGCCGUCGUUAUUCCCAUGACGUGGCGAGACGCCCCCGGGAAACCUCAAGUCUUUGAGUUCCGGGGGUAGUAUGGUUGCAAAAGUGAAACUUAAAGGAAUUGACGGAAGGGCACCACCAGGAGUGGAGCCUGCGGCUUAAUUUGACUCAACACGGGGAAGCUCACCAGGCCCGGACACCAGAAGGAUUGACAGAUUAAGAGCUCUUUCUCGAUUUGGUGGGUGGUGGUGCAUGGCCGUUCUUAGUUGGUGGAGUGAUUUGUCUGGUUAAUUC
rnacentral:rRNA from 1 species